rnacentral:rRNA from 1 species
GACGAACGCUGGCGGCGUGCCUAAUACAUGCAAGUCGAACGAAGCUGUUUUAACUGGUGCUUGCACCGACUUAAACAACUGAGUGGCGAACGGGUGAGUAACACGUGGGUAACCUGCCCCAAAGCGGGGGAUAACAUUUGGAAACAGAUGCUAAUACCGCAUAACCACAGAAACCACAUGGUUUCUGUGUCAAAGAUGGUUUCGGCUAUCACUUUGGUAUGUACCCGCGGCGUAUUAGCUAGUUGGUAAGGUAAUGGCUUACCAAGGGAAUGAUACGUAGCCGAACUGAGAGGUUGAUCGGCCACAUUGGGACUGAGACACGGCCCAAACUCCUACGGGAGGCAGCAGUAGGGAAUCUUCCACAAUGGACGAAAGUCUGAUGGAGCAACGCCGCGUGAGUGAAGAAGGUUUUCGGAUCGUAAAACUCUGUUGUCAGAGAAGAACGUGUGCGAGAGUAACUGUUCGUGCAGUGACGGUAUCUGGCCAGAAAGCCACGGCUAACUACGUGCCAGCCGCCGCUGAA